rnacentral:rRNA from 1 species
UACGGAGGGAUCGAACGUUAAUCGGAAUUACUGGGCGUAAAGCGCGCGUAGGCGGUUUGAUAAGUGGGAUGUGAAAGCCCCGGGCUUAACCUGGGAACUGCAUUCCAAACUGUCAGACUAGAGUAUGGUAGAGGGUGGUAGAAUUUCCUGUGUAGCGGUGAAAUGCGUAGAUAUAGGAAGGAAUACCGAUGGCGAAGGCAGCCACCUGGACCAAUACUGACGCUGAGGUGCGAAAGCGUAGGGAGCAAACAGG